rnacentral:rRNA from 1 species
UGAGGAAUAUUGGUCAAUGGGCGGAAGCCUGAACCAGCCAUGCCGCGUGAAGGACUAAGGCCCUAUGGGUCGUAAACUUCUUUAGACGCAGAGCAAUAAGGGUCUCGAGAGAUCCGAUGAGAGUAUGCGUAGAAUAAGCAUCGGCUAACUCCGUGCCAGCAGCCGCGGUAAUACGGGGGAUGCGAGCGUUAUCCGGAUUUAUUGGGUUUAAAGGGUGCGUAGGCGGAAGUGCAAGUCAGCGGUGAAAUCCCCGCGCUCAACGCGGGAGUUGCCGUUGAUACUGUACAUCUGGAAUGCUCUUGCCGUGGGAGGAAUGAGUAGUGUAGCGGUGAAAUGCAUAGAUAUUACUCA